GAUGAACGCUGGCGGCGUGCCUAAUACAUGCAAGUCGAGCGGAUGGAAGGAAGCUUGCUUCCUAAAGUCAGCGGCGGACGGGUGAGUAACACGUGGGCAACCUGCCCCUAAGAUCGGGAUAACUUCGGGAAACCGGAGCUAAUACCGGAUAUGAUUAUGUCUCACAUGAGACAUAAUGGAAAGACGGUUUCGGCUGUCACUUAGGGAUGGGCCCGCGGCGCAUUAGCUAGUUGGUGAGGUAACGGCUCACCAAGGCGACGAUGCGUAGCCGACCUGAGAGGGUGAUCGGCCACACUGGGACUGAGACACGGCCCAGACUCCUACGGGAGGCAGCAGUAGGGAAUCUUCCGCAAUGGACGAAAGUCUGACGGAGCAACGCCGCGUGAGUGAAGAAGGUUUUCGGAUCGUAAAACUCUGUUGUUAGGGAAGAACAAGUACCAUAGUAACUGAUGGUACCUUGACGGUACCUAACCAGAAAGCCACGGCUAACUACGUGCCAGCAGCCGCGGUAACAC
rnacentral:rRNA from 1 species